rnacentral:lncRNA from 1 species
AGCCAAAGUCAAAGCCAAACUGUUCAGAAGAAAAGAUAGUACAUGUUAUCGUAUCAUUUUAAAUAGAACUGCACACGAAAAUAAUCAGGAAAAAAGGCUAUCUUGUGGACUUUCAAGACAUUUAAAAAUAGCAUCAGGCAACUCUGAUUUCAAUGGCAUGCACAGUUCCACAAGGGAGUGAGAGUCCUUGAAAUAUUCUGCAUCUAAAACCUUUGCAAGUUCAACAUCAAAAUGGCGGAGGGAGGGGGCCCUUUCUGGGGGAAGAGAAGGAAGAAAUGGCAAAGUCUUUAAAGCAAGGAGGUGGAGAGAGUGCUGGAUUUGGAGUUGGCAAGACCUGUAUCCAAAUUGUACUUCAGAUAUUUACUGGCUGAGUAGUCCUGGCUUACUUUACAGAUGAGAAAGCUAAAGCCAACAGGGUUAAGUGACUUGCUCAGGGGCAGAAAACUAGUAAGUAUUUUGAUCUGGAUUUGAACUCAGGUCUUCCUGAUUCCAUGUACAAUAAUAUCCACUGCACCUCCUUGAAGUCAAGUUUUUGUUCAGUCCUUUCAGUUUUAUCCUAGUCUGUGUAACCCCAUUUGGGUUUUUUCUUGGACAAAAUACUGGAGUGGUUUGCCAUGUACUUUUCUAGCUCUUUUUUAUAGGUGAGGAAAUGAAGGCAGAGUUAAAUGACUUUCCCAGGCUCACACACUUAAGAAAUGUCUGAGGCUAGGUUUGAACUCAGUUUUUCUUAAAUCUAGACCCAGCUCUAUGUACACUAACAGCCCUUUGUAAAUGCUAGCUGCUGUUAUAAUUUUUAUUCCUGUGGGAGAGUGGGCACAAUCUGGUCCCAGCACCAGUGAUAAUAAUAGCUAGC